GACAGAGGGUGCAAACGUUGUUCGGAAUUACUGGGCGUAAAGCGCGUGUAGGCUGCUUGGCAAGUCGGAUGUGAAAGCCCUGGGCUCAACCCAGGAAGUGCAUUCGAAACUGCCGAGCUGGAGUCCUGGAGAGGAAGGCGGAAUUCUCGGUGUAGAGGUGAAAUUCGUAGAUAUCGAGAGGAACACCGGUGGCGAAGGCGGCCUUCUGGACAGUGACUGACGCUGAGACGACGAAAGCGUGGGGGAGCAAACAGG
rnacentral:rRNA from 1 species